AAACGAUGCCGAUGUCGUGGUGCCGAAUAAUGGCGACGCGAAAGAGAAAUCGAGUAGGGCCCUGGGGAGAGUACACGCGCAAGCGAGAAAUUUAAAGGAAAUUGACGGAAGAACACCACAAGGAGUGGAGUGUGCGGCUUAAUUUGACUCAACGCGGGACAACUUACCGGGCCCGACGACCGUAUGAGUGUAACACACGAUAGGUCGAAGAGUGGUGCAUGGCCGUUAACGACGAGUGGAGUGAUCUUUGGGUUAAGUCCGUAAAUUAGUGAGACCUCAGCCGUAAGGGACAGGUGCGCAAAGCACAGGAAGGAUGGGUCAAGGACAGGUCAGUGAUGCCCUUAGAUGGUCCGGGCUGCACGCGCACUAUAGUGGUCGCCGAAAUUACCUGAUAAUUUUAAAGGCGAUCGAGAGGAAAUGAGCUUUGUAAGAGG
rnacentral:rRNA from 1 species